AGGAGGGCGAGUUAAAGAGUUAAAAAGUGACAGAGGUUGUCAAACUUUACUCUACCCCAAGGGCCAAGAGAUGCUCCUGACUGCCUCUUACAAGAAAUUUGCAGACACGUGCACUUGGGUUUGACUCACUUAACAUGUCAAGACAUCAGAUCUUCACGUCAUGAGCAAGGGGCACAAGGUCAGUCAUAGGACCUGCGUUUGAGACGUGCCCUGUUGAUACCUGGAGGAAAGAAACGUCCUUAUCUCUGAAGACACAAGACUUCAGAGAUAGAUCUGAACAAACACCUCUUCGUAAGUUUCCCCUGGUUUAUUGCCAUU
rnacentral:lncRNA from 1 species